GCACGAUAUAGCCUUUCAUUACAAAAAUGAUUUUCAAAGGGCCUUGCAUGCAUUAAGGUAGACAACAAAUUUAAAAAGAUAAAAAAAGAAGAUGCCACCGUUUCCCUUCCGAGGUCUGAUCAUUAAUAUUAAAGGAGGCAUUGAAACCCCCUCCAAGGAAGAAACCAGCAGAAUCUAUCCCGAACUACUUAUACAGAUAAUUUACUAUUAUUGUAUUAAUAUAGAGGUUCAAAGAUCUACAAGAACUGGCAAAAAUUAUGUCAUGCACUGUCACGGCUGCUAUUUCCAAUGAAGUUGACUUUGGGCUGUAGUUUUAAUGUAACGGUUCGACAUGGACACAAAACGUUUUUGGAAUGGCAAAUUUUUGAAAGCCAUUUCAUAUUUUAAAGUUCCUUGGCAACAUCUUGACGCAUGCAUGUAUAUUAAUUUGCCAACGUAUAGUUUAAACGCCUUGACAACACGCCUCGCAGGAUAUCAGAAGUGUUCCUAUCAGUAAAAUUCUAAACCAAACUUCCGAACAUAAAUCAUAAUUAAUAGGUUGGGACUUUUGGCAUCUAAUGACUAAUGCUACUCCUUUGGCAACUCUUGGGAAGCAAAGAGCAAAGAGCCUGGGAACGAGGUUGCUCUUUUGGCUAAUGGUAAAACACGAUCUCAAUUGUCUUUAUGACCUCCAGCUGUUUAAAUUGCGUUGUACGCCUUUCUGUUAAAGGCUGCUUUCCAGUGAAGCGUUUUUCAUACAUAUGUACACGUUGAAGAGUUCUUAUGUCUUAAAAAUUAAAUGAAUGAAAGAACAACAUUUAGUUUUGUAUAUGAUUUCAAGGGGUCAAAAAUUUUUUCCGGACAUACCAACAUUUUCCGU